UACGAAGGGGGCUAGCGUUGUUCGGAUUUACUGGGCGUAAAGCGCACGUAGGCGGAUUUUUAAGUCAGGGGUGAAAUCCCGAGGCUCAACCUCGGAACUGCCCUUGAUACUGGAAGUCUCGAGUCCGGGAGAGGUGAGUGGAACUGCGAGUGUAGAGGUGAAAUUCGUAGAUAUUCGGAGGAACACCAGUGGCGAAGGCGGCUCACUGGCUCGAUACUGACGCUGAGGUGCGAAAGCGUGGGGAGCAAACAGG
rnacentral:rRNA from 1 species